rnacentral:rRNA from 1 species
GAUGAACGCUGGCGGCGUGCCUAAUACAUGCAAGUCGAGCGAACGGACGAGAAGCUUGCUUCUCUGAUGUUAGCGGCGGACGGGUGAGUAACACGUGGAUAACCUACCUAUAAGACUGGGAUAACUUCGGGAAACCGGAGCUAAUACCGGAUAAUAUUUUGAACCGCAUGGUUCAAAAGUGAAAGACGGUCUUGCUGUCACUUAUAGAUGGAUCCGCGCUGCAUUAGCUAGUUGGUAAGGUAACGGCUUACCAAGGCAACGAUGCAUAGCCGACCUGAGAGGGUGAUCGGCCACACUGGAACUGAGACACGGUCCAGACUCCUGCGGGAGGCAGCAGUAGGGAAUCUUCCGCAAUGGGCGAAAGCCUGACGGAGCAACGCCGCGUGAGUGAUGAAGGUCUUCGGAUCGUAAAACUCUGUUAUUAGGGAAGAACAUAUGUGUAAGUAACUGUGCACAUCUUGACGGUACCUAAUCAGAAAGCCACGGCUAACUACGUGCCAGCAGCCGCGGUAAUACGUAGGUGGCAAGCGUUAUCCGGAAUUAUUGGGCGUAAAGCGCGCGUAGGCGGUUUUUUAAGUCUGAUGUGAAAGCCCACGGCUCAACCGUGGAGGGUCAUUGGAAACUGGAAAACUUGAGUGCAGAAGAGGAAAGUGGAAUUCCAUGUGUAGCGGUGAAAUGCGCAGAGAUAUGGAGGAACACCAGUGGCGAAGGCGACUUUCUGGUCUGUAACUGACGCUGAUGUGCGAAAGCGUGGGGAUCAAACAGGAUUAGAUACCCUGGUAGUCCACGCCGUAAACGAUGAGUGCUAAGUGUUAGGGGGUUUCCGCCCCUUAGUGCUGCAGCUAACGCAUUAAGCACUCCGCCUGGGGAGUACGACCGCAAGGUUGAAACUCAAAGGAAUUGACGGGGACCCGCACAAGCGGUGGAGCAUGUGGUUUAAUUCGAAGCAACGCGAAGAACCUUACCAAAUCUUGACAUCCUUUGACAACUCUAGAGAUAGAGCCUUCCCCUUCGGGGGGGCAAAGUGACAGGUGGUGCAUGGUUGUCGUCAGCUCGUGUCGUGAGAUGUUGGGUUAAGUCCCGCAACGAGCGCAACCCUUAAGCUUAGUUGCCAUCAUUAAGUUGGGCACUCUAAGUUGACUGCCGGUGACAAACCGGAGGAAGGUGGGGAUGACGUCAAAUCAUCAUGCCCCUUAUGAUUUGGGCUACACACGUGCUACAAUGGACAAUACAAAGGGCAGCGAAACCGCGAGGUCAAGCAAAUCCCAUAAAGUUGUUCUCAGUUCGGAUUGUAGUCUGCAACUCGACUACAUGAAGCUGGAAUCGCUAGUAAUCGUAGAUCAGCAUGCUACGGUGAAUACGUUCCCGGGUCU